GGUUACCGUGAAUGUUUGCCAGUGACAGCACAUCCACGACCUCGGCCAGGAUGGAGGCCCACAGGGAGAGUGAGGAGGACGGACAGGGCGAGGCGUGAAGGCUGACCUCGGAAAUGCACUGGAUGAGCCGUGGCUCCUUUUGCUGGGAAAGAAAACACAAGCGAGUUAAGUAACCUAAAUUAUAUGUCUAGCCCUACAAAUGACCUAAG
rnacentral:lncRNA from 1 species